GAUGAAGAACGCAGCGAAAUGCGAUAAGUAAUGCGAAUUGCAGAAUUCCAGUGAGUCAUCGAAUCUUUGAACGCACAUUGCGCCCUUUGGUAUUCCGAAGGGCAUGCCUGUUCGAGCGUCAUUACCACCCCUCAAGCCCUCGGCUUGGUGUUGGACGGUUUGGUGGAGGCCCCCCCGGGGGCUCCUGCCCCUCCCAAAGACAAUGACGGCGGCCUCGUUGGACCCCCGGUACACUGAGUUCUUCACGGGACACGUAUCGGACACAUGGGUUUACGGGACACGGUCUGCCUCCCCUCAGGGAGAAUCUUUCUAAGGUUGACCUCGGAUCAGGUAGGGAUACCCGCUGAACUUAAGCAUAUCAAUAAGCGGAGGA
rnacentral:misc_RNA from 1 species